rnacentral:tRNA from 1 species
UCUGAUUUAUUGUAUGAGCAUACUAGUUUUUCGGGCUAUUGGUGGGUUUGCCCAGUCAGAG